rnacentral:misc_RNA from 1 species
UAAUAAUAAUAAAGAAAUACAUUUCUAUUCUAUACUAAACAAGAACCUGAAAUGAAAUUCUACAUAAAUGGCAAUGGAAUGCAAUGUUGAGCUUCCAAGGGACACAAUGAUGCCCUUUUCAGUAAGACCAUUUUCACAUUUUUUGCACAACCGUGCAAUCAUGGGAUUGGAGAACUAUACAUCAACUCUCUAUUUUUCUUACCCGUCAUGUGCUCCAAAAAUUGGAGCAUAAUUAUACUAAAUACCCAAAUGAAUCUGCUAACUCAACGCAUUUUCACAAUGUGUAAACUAACUGGAAAUCUAAGAAAGAGAAAGUCAGCAUGUGGCAUCUAACCCAUGAGAAUCUGUUGCUACCCAACAGCAUUCUGUAUACCAAUUCUAAAUUUUGCAUUUUAGCAAAAACAAAAAGAGCGAAAUUUACUGGAUUUAUACACGACUCUGCUGCUCUCUGUUUUCCAUCUCUCUCACACUAUCCACUAUGCGUUGGAUCUUCUUUGACAGACUCUCAUUAUGCUCCUCAAUCUGUUCAAAUAUCAAUUCCAAAUGCCUUUUAUACGUCGCUGCCCUCUUUUUCUCUAGAGCUAGCUGCUGCGAUAGUUCACGGAUUUUAUCAUGUUCAUUCUGCACACCAAAAGUUUAGUUGCAAUUUAGAAAAAGUAAUACCACUAAAAUCAAUUUAUGCAAUGCAGGUGUUGAGAAUUCUAUUAAACUUCCAUGAAAGUUAAUGCAUCCCAUUUGCCACUUUUUACACGUAAAAGUUGCAAAUUGAUGUCUGGAAGAGCACAAGUCCUCAAGAAAGACAGCAACAAAUGCUUCCCAACAAAUACUCUAUUAAAGCAAAUUCACCAGGAUGUCAGUGAGAGGCGACAAGCAUGUAUACCUUCAUAGCUAUUUCCUUAAACCACAAUACCAUUGACAAAGAUAUUAACUCAACCUAUGCAAUGAGAAAUAAAGAUAACUCAUUAUUUAGUGGAGCUUAAAAUGUAAUGCGUGACUCCAAGUUCAUGGUUAUCUUCGUAGGGUUUUUUGCGAUGAAGAAAUAGGCAUGUGAUAUCACAUUACAGGAAACAAAAGGAGGCAUAAAGACUUGAAAGCAUUAGACAAAGUUUUAGAAGACAGCCACAUAAAUUAUAUUGUACAUGAAAUGGGAUUGACCAACAAAAGUUUAUUAUCCUUAUGAGAUCGGAAUUCUGGUUAAAACAAUACUUCUCUAAGUUAGACUUCUAAUAAAGCUCAAAAAAUCUCAAAAUCUAAGACCCAAAACAUAGCAACCCAGCCCAUUCAAAUAAAGCUGGAAAUUACUAAAAUAUCAACAGGUUCAAAAACCAAGGAUAAAUACUAAACCCACAGCUAAUUGAGUUCAAUAAAUACAGAACUAAAAUAUGAUUAUAAAAGGUUUUGUAAGGUAAGCCAAAAUAAAAGUUUAUUUCAUCUUUCAUCUUGCUUUUCAUGGAGCUUUUCAUGGAGCUUCUUGUUGUCUGCAUAACUUACAUACAUAGUUGAAGUGUCACUAAAAAGACAAAAGUUAACCACUUCUAAUUAUAAAAAUUUAUCACAUACAAGAAAACACAAAAUAUACAAGUGAACGUCCACAAUCACCUUUUUCUGAUGAUCCAACAACCGUACUACACAAACCAAUGAGGGAAUUCUCCUCAUUCUACAUAACAUUCAACAAUGUUCUUACAUCAUGAUUGUAAUAAAUUCAAUAAACUUAAUAAAACCCAGCCUACAUUAUUCCUUUUUCUACAAAGAACCUAAUCCAAGAUAUCAGACAACUAUAUUAAAUUCAACAACCUAAUAAAACUCCACCUUAAUGCAUUUCUUUUUCUGGCAAGAACCUGGUCCAUAAUAUCUAGAUAACGAGUGUUUGUAGCAAUCAACCAUGCCUGCAGAUCAGCCCUCAACAAUAUAACGUUAAGAACAAUGAGAUUUUUUAAACUCUGCACUGUACUGGUUUUUGAGUUACUGGAUGCAGAGGAAGUAGUAUCAAACAUAAAGUUCAGAAAUUGGCACGCAUACUACAGGUACACAUGAUUGAACCAUUAUAAAUGCCUUCACAGCUACUGUUAAAAUGGAAUACAAUUUAAGCCAACAUCCUUUUUUCCGAACUAAAUUCAUAAUUGUCCCAAAAAGGACUUAAGAAGUAAAGACAGGUGAUAAAAAAAAUGGAUGAUUAUAGAAAAUGACAUGUUACUUAAGUGUUUAACCUACAAAUAACAGAAUGCAAAAAAUAGCAAUUGGCACAACCAAGGGCUGUGUUACACGUUCUUCAGGUUCCAUUGAGAUUUCCAAAUGAUUCUAGUGAAAUCCCUAUAAAAAGUAUUAUUAUGGGGAAAUAUAGUCUAAUCAUGCUAACUGUUAACUUGGUUUUCACAAGCCUUAAAAGUUCAUCUACAUUUUUUUUUCCAGGUAGGUAAAGUUCAUAUUUUUUCAAGUAACUCAAGUUCAUGUGCUUUUUUCCUUUCAAUGAGCUGUUCAAACAAAAGAUUAUAUACUUAAAAAUUUAAUAACACAACAAUACCAAAUCUGUAUAACAGGAGAGCACGAACUAACCGGAUACUGAUCAUAAAUGCAAUCCCUUCGGCCUUUACCAGGUGUUAAAGGAUGAGUGUGCUCCUUAACAAACUUUGUAACAACCCAUUUACCAGAACUUACUUUCCUCACCAAAAUCAUUGCUCUGCAGCCAACCCUCGUCUCCGCCCUUUGUCUUACAAUUUUUUCUCGCUUGUCAGGCAUUCUGUAACCCUCUUUAUUACAAACAAGUGCCCGACCAAUGGCAGAUCCAUCACGCCUUGAUCGAGAGAGUUUGCUGACACGGAUGAUGAAUCCCACACGUGUAGCAUAAGUAUUGUAAAAUGCAUGUGCAGCUGCUUCAGAUUCAAAUUCCUGUCCCACAUAGGGCUCAUCUGCUGGAACCAUAGCUAUAGAUGGAACUCCAUCCAGAAUUGCAUCCUUACCUAAAGACUCUUUAUCCACUUUAUCAUCCUGAUCUUGUUGAAAAUCCUCUUCAGCAGAAUUUAUAACAAUUUCAUUUUCAUCACCUGCUCUGCUAUCUUCCAACUCAACAGUUCCCACCACCACACCAUUGGCAUCACCAUUUACCCCAAAUUCCAUAUUGACGGACGGAGGAAAUAGGAGUGAUGCGAUCACACCACCUAAUGGCUAAAACAGAUGAAAAUUAAUCAAAUAAAUUAUCGAUUUCCCAACUGUGAUGGGAAAUAGGGAAAAUGCGAAACGAGGUUAGGCAAUCACAGGCCGUGAUGGGGGUAGUCACCAGCGACGAUAGAGAGAAGGGAGAUGAUGAUUGUGAAUAAGAAAAAGGAAGAAGAUAUUCAUGUGAAGGAGACGGCCAAAUCGUAGGCGAUGAUCGCAACGUCGGUAGCUGGCAGUUGGCCGUCGGCGAUGGAGGUGACUAUCCUAAAAUGUCGACUAUAAGUUUAGGAUUCGGUGGUUAGGGUUCAGACAUCUAGAGGUAAGAUGAGAGACAGGAAAUUAAAAGGAAAGAAGUUCUGACUUUUACGGCUUGUUUGUUUGUUUGUUUGGAAGUGAGGGGAAACAGGGAGAAUGGAAGGGGAAGGGAAGGGAAGGGAAGGAAAGGAAAGGGGGGAAAGGAAUGAAAUGUUUUCGGUUGCUCGAAAUGAAGAGGAGGAAGGAGGAUGAUUG